rnacentral:misc_RNA from 1 species
AAAGUCGUAACAAGGUUUCCGUAGGUGAACCUGCGGAAGGAUCAUUAUCAAUUUAACAGUUCGUGGGAUAGACGCUAGUAAGGCUACCCUUCUCACGCUGUUUCAACCCUUUGUCUUUUGCGUACUGUAUGUUUCCUCGGCGGGUUCGCCCGCCGAUAGGACACUUCAAAACCUUUUGUAAUUGCAAUCAGCGUCAGAAAAACUAUAAUAGUUACAACUUUCAACAACGGAUCUCUUGGUUCUG